CUACGGGAUGCACCAGUGAGGAAUAUUGCACAAUGGGGGGAACCCUGAUGCAGCAACGCCGCGUGGAGGAUGACGCAUUUCGGUGUGUAAACUCCUUUUAUAUGUCAAGAAAAUGACGGUAGCAUAUGAAUAAGCACCGGCUAACUCCGUGCCAGCAGCCGCGGUAAUACGGAGGGUGCAAGCGUUACUCGGAAUCACUGGGCGUAAAGGACGCGUAGGCGGGUUGGAAAGUCAGGUGUGAAAUCCUACAGCUUAACUGUAGAACUGCACUUGAAACUUCUAGUCUAGAGUAUGGAAGGGGGAGAUGGAAUUAGUGGUGUAGGGGUAAAAUCCGUAGAUAUCACUAGGAAUACCUAAAGCGAAGGCGAUCUCCUGGAACAUUACUGACGCUAAGGCGUGAAAGCGUGGGGAGCAAACAGGAUUAGAUACCCCGGUAGUC
rnacentral:rRNA from 1 species